AGCCAUGCUAAGAACAGCGAGGAGCUGGCAGCUCACACAGACCUUCGACUGCAUUCAGCACUUUCCCUGGAGCUGUGACUCAGCAGGAUCCGGAAAGGUAAACAAUUUUAAGUUUUUCUAUGAAAAGAUGCUCAGCUGUUCCUGCAUUUGGUGAUGCCUGCACAGUCCAAGGCCACCUCGAGGGAAAUAACUAGAUCUAGAAGGGACUUGGAGAAAUGACCUUCAGUGAAGCCCUCUUUGUCAAGAGAGUGAAGCCAUGAAGAUAUUCUCCUCAGGGAAUUCUGGUUCUGUCCUCUCCUGAUUCAACCUUGUCAUCCAAAAGGACUCAGAUAAAUCAGGAAGGAGGAUGCUGAUGAGGAAGAAAAGAUGAACAGCAAAAUGGAGAGACCAAGGGACUUGCAGAGAGAGAGAGCUCUCAUAAUCAGAAGACAGCAAGGCAGUUCAAAUUUCUCAGCUUCAGCCCAGUCACUACCCUUCAUCAGAAAUCGC